CCUACGGGAGGCAGCAGUAAGGAAUAUUGGACAAUGCCCGCAAGGGUGAUCCAGCCAUGCCGCGUGCAGGAAGACGGCCCUAUGGGUUGUAAACUGCUUUUACACCGGAGAAAACCCCCCUACGUGUAGGGGGCUGAUAGUAUGGUGAGAAUAAGCAUCGGCUAACUUCGUGCCAGCAGCCGCGGUAAGACGAAGGAUGCAAGCGUUAUCCGGAUUCAUUGGGUUUAAAGGGAGCGUAGGUGGCCUUAUAAGUCAGUGGUGAAAUCUCUGGGCUUAACCCAGAAAUUGCCAUUGAUACUGUAGGGCUUGAGUAUAGUUGCCGUUGGCGGAAUAUGACAUGUAGUGGUGAAAUACAUAGAGAUGUCAUAGAACACCGAUUGCGAAGGCAGCUGACGAAACUAUAACUGACACUGAGGCUCGAAAGUGUGGGGAUCAAACAGGAUUAGAUACCCUGGUAGUCCACACUGUAAACGAUGAUUACUCGCUGCUAGGGGGCAACCUUUAGUGGCUUAGCGAAAGCGAUAAGUAAUCCACCUGGGGAGUACGCCGGCAACGGUGAAACUCAAAGGAAUUGACGG
rnacentral:rRNA from 1 species